rnacentral:rRNA from 1 species
CCCUUAGAUGUUCUGGGCCGCACGCGCGCUACACUGAUGCAUUCAACGAGCCUAUCCUUGACCGACAGGUCCGGGUAAUCUUUGAAUCUGCAUCGUGACGGGGAUAGAUUAUUGCAAUUAUUAAUCUUCAACGAGGAAUGCCUAGUAGGCGCAAGUCAUCAGCUUGCGUCGAUUACGUCCCUACCCUUUGUACACACCGCCCGUCGCUCCUACCGAUUGGGUGUGCUGGUGAAAUGUUCGGAUCGGCCGUUUGUCGCGGUUUCCGCGUCAUGUGGCUGAGAAGUUCAUUAAACCCUCCCACCGAGAGGAAGGAGAAGUCGUAACA